rnacentral:rRNA from 1 species
UACGUAGGGUGCAAGCGUUGUCCGGAAUUAUUGGGCGUUAAAGAGCUCUGUAUGGCGGGUUUGUCGCGUCGAAUUGUGAAAACCCGGGGCUCAAACCCCGGGCCUGCAUUCGAUACGGGCAGACUAGAGUUCGGUAGGGGAGUCUGGAAUUCCUGGUGUAGCGGUGAAAUGCGCAGAUAUCAGGAGGAACACCGGUGGCGAAGGCGGGACUCUGGGCCGAUACUGACGCUGAGGAGCGAAGCGUGGGAGCAAACAGG